UCUCUGAUCAUCAGUGUGUCUGUGCUUCUUUUUCUGAUCUUCACUGUGAUUCUGUUGGUGAUCGUCUCUCUCUGGAGGAGGCGUCAGUCUCACGUCGCUCAUCCCUCAUCCAGAAGAUCUCACAGGACACCAGCAAACACUGACACGGCUUCUAAUUAUCAUUGUGAUUACGAGGAGACUGAAGACAAUCGCAGACAAUUACCCACAAACCCCUCUGAUUCUACUAACGCAAUCUAUGCUACUCCAGAAUUACCCAUAAACCCCUCUGAUUCUACUAACAGAGUUCACACUUUAACAUCGCAGAAGUCCACGUCUUUCAGUCAUCAUCAUCUACUGAGGGUCUGAAAGACACAGACGGUCCUGAUGAUGUUCCUUCAACAAUUAUCUGUCUUCACAUUAAUG